UACGUAGGGGGCAAGCGUUGUCCGGAAUUAUUGGGCGUAAAGAGCGCGUAGGCGGUCCGAUAAGUCGGCUGUGAAAGUCAAGGGCUCAACCCUUGAAAGCCGGCCGAUACUGUCGGACUAGAGUCCGGAAGAGGCGAGUGGAAUUCCCGGUGUAGCGGUGAAAUGCGCAGAUAUCGGGAGGAACACCAAUGGCGAAGGCAGCUCACUGGCCCGGUACUGACGCUGAGGUGCGAAAGCGUGGGGAGCAAACAGG
rnacentral:rRNA from 1 species